CAACCUGCCUUUAAGAGUGGAAUAACGUUUGGAAACGGACGCUAAUACCGCAUAAUAUAUUUGAGUCGCAUGGCUUGAAUAUCAAAGAUUUAUCGCUUAGAGAUGGGCUCGCGUCUGAUUAGCUUGUUGGUGAGGUAACGGCUCACCAAGGCGACGAUCAGUAGCCGGACUGAGAGGUUGAACGGCCACAUUGGGACUGAGACACGGCCCAGACUCCUACGGGAGGCAGCAGUGGGGAAUAUUGCACAAUGGGCGCAAGCCUGAUGCAGCGAUGCCGCGUGAGGGAAGAAGGUUUUCGGAUUGUAAACCUCUGUCUUAAGGGACGAUAAUGACGGUACCUUAGGAGGAAGCUCCGGCUAACUACGUG
rnacentral:rRNA from 1 species